UACGGGGGGGCAAGCGUUGUUCGGAAUUACUGGGCGUAAAGGGCUCGGUAGGCGGCCAACUAAGUCGGAUGUGAAAUCCCCAAGGCUUAACUUGGGAACUGCAUCCGAUACUGGAUGGCUUGAAUCCGGGAGAGGAUGCAGAAUUCAGGUGUAGCGGUGAAAUGCGUAGAUAUCUGGAGGAACACCGGUGGCCGAAGGCGGCAUCCUGGACCAACACUGACGCUGAGGAGCGGAAAGCCAGGGGAAGCAAAGCGGGGAUUAAGAAACCCGUUGUAACGUCC
rnacentral:rRNA from 1 species